GAUGAACGCUGGCGGCGUGCCUAAUACAUGCAAGUCGAACGAACGGACGAGAAGCUUUCUCCUCUGGUUUUAGCGGCGGACGGGUGAGUAACUCAUGGUUAGGCUAACUAUAAGACUGGGGUGAUUACAGGAAACCAGGGCUAAUAACGAAAAAUAUUUUGAACUGCAUUGUUCAAACGUGGGAUUCGGUCUUGCUGUGGGUUAAAGAUGAAGAAGGGCUGCAUUAACGAGUUGGUAAGGUAACGGCUUACCAAGGCAACGAUGCAUAGCCGACCUAAGCAGGUGAUCGGCCACACUGGAAGUGAGACACGGUCCAGACCCCGACGGGAGGCAGCAGUAGCGAAUCUUACGCAAGGGGCGAGAGCCUGAUGGAGCAACGCCGCGUGAGUGAUGAUGGUCUUCUGAUCGUAAAGCGAUGUUAUUAGGGAAGAAGAUAAGUGUUAGUAACUGUGAUCAUACUGACGGUACCUAAACAAAAAGCCACGGCUAACUACGUG
rnacentral:rRNA from 1 species